AACGAACGCUGGCGGCAGGCCUAACACAUGCAAGUCGAACGCUGUAGCAAUACAGAGUGGCAGACGGGUGAGUAACACGUGGGAAUCUUCCUAUCGGUACGGAAUAGCUCAGGGAAACUUGGGGUAAUACCGCAUACGCCCUUCGGGGGAAAGAUUUAUCGCCGAUAGAUGAGCCCGCGUCUGAUUAGCUAGUUGGUGAGGUAAUGGCUCACCAAGGCGACGAUCAGUAGCUGGUCUGAGAGGAUGACCAGCCACACUGGGACUGAGACACGGCCCAGACUCCUACGGGAGGCAGCAGUGGGGAAUAUUGGACAAUGGGCGCAAGCCUGAUCCAGCCAUGCCGCGUGAGUGACGAAGGUCUUCGGAUUGUAAAGCUCUUUUGGCGGGGACGAUAAUGACGGUACCCGCAGAAUAAGCCCCGGCUAACUUCGUGCCAGCCGCCGCAGUAAAAC
rnacentral:rRNA from 1 species